rnacentral:rRNA from 1 species
UACAGAGGUCUCAAGCGUUUGUUCGGAUUCAUUGGGCGUAAAGGGUGCGUAGGUGGCGCGCUAAGUCGGGUGUGAAAUUUCGGAGCUUAACUCCGAAACUGCAUUCGAUACUGGCGUGCUUGAGGACUGGAGAGGAGACUGGAAUUCAUGGUGUAGCAGUGAAAUGCGUAGAGAUCAUGAGGAAGACCAGUGGCGAAGGCGGGUCUCUGGACAGUUCCUGACACUGAGGCACGAAGGCCAGGGGAGCAAACGGG